rnacentral:rRNA from 1 species
AUUGAACGCUGGCGGAAUGCUUUACACAUGCAAGUCGAGCGGCAGCGCGGGGGCAACCCUGGCGGCGAGCGGCGAACGGGUGAGUAAUACAUCGGAACGUGUCCUUAAGUGGGGGAUAGCUCGGCGAAAGCCGGAUUAAUACCGCAUAAGCUCUGAGGAGGAAAGCGGGGGCUCCGUAAGGACCUCGCGCUGUUGGAGCGGCCGAUGUCGGAUUAGCUAGUUGGUGGGGUAAAGGCCCACCAAGGCGACGAUCCGUAGCUGGUCUGAGAGGAUGAUCAGCCACACUGGAACUGAGACACGGUCCAGACUCCUACGGGAGGCAGCAGUGGGGAAUUUUGGACAAUGGGGGCAACCCUGAUCCAGCCAUUCCGCGUGAGUGAAGAAGGCCUGGUUGUAAGU